UGUAAUUAGUUUAUAUAAAAUAAUUGUUUUUGGUGCAUUAGUAAUUAUUACAA
rnacentral:tRNA from 1 species